UGCGCAGAGGAGAAGGCCAUCAUGCGGCCUAGGUACAGAGUUGCGCAGAGGAGAAGGCCAUCAUGCGGCCUAGGUACAGAGUUGCGCAGUGGAGAAGGCCAUCAUGCGGCCUAGGUACAGAGUUGCGCAGUGGAGAAGGCCAUCAUGCGGCCUAGGUACAGAGUUGCGCAGUGGAGAAGGCCAUCAUGCGGCCUAGGCGCAGAGUUGCGCAGUGGAGAAGGCCAUCAUGCGGCCUAGGUGCAGAGUUGCG